UGAAUGAGUGUGUGGCAAAUUGCUUU
rnacentral:piRNA from 1 species